rnacentral:rRNA from 1 species
UACGUAGGGGGCAAGCGUUGUCCGGAUUUAUUGGGCGUAAAGAGCGUGUAGGCGGCCAAACAGGUCCGCUGUGAAAACUCGAGGCUCAACCUCGAGAGGUCGGUGGAAACCGUCUGGCUAGAGUCCGGAAGAGGAGAGUGGAAUUCCCGGUGUAGCGGUGAAAUGCGCAGAUAUCGGGAAGAACACCCGUGGCGAAGGCGGCUCUCUGGGACGGUACUGACGCUGAGACGCGAAAGCGUGGGGAGCGAACAGG